UCCUUCUCUCUCUUUCCUCUCUCCUCUCCCUACCUUCUCUCUCUAUUUUCUCUCUCUAGAUUCUCUCCCUAUUUUCUCUCUCUGCUCUCUCUCUUGGAUUUUUUUAAGAUUUAUGGAUUUAAAAAAAUAAAUUAAAAAAUAAUAAUACUAAUAAAUCUUGGAUGUUGUCAUCUAGUCGAUCCAUGUGAGGACGUUAGAUUUUAGAAAUUUUUAUUAUUUUUAUUUGAUGAAAUUUUGAUCAAAAAUAUGAUAUCUGACAUACCAGGUCUGG
rnacentral:lncRNA from 1 species